AUGUUGUCAAUUGUUUCUGCCAUCAUUAUCGGGCCCCAAUGCAACCUUAGAAUGACGGAAGCCUUUCAAUUUGCUGAGAUUGCACACCAGAAAACUGACACUGGCAGAAAUUUUGGAUGUUGUAGAUUUUUUAGCAGAGUAAUAUGUCACACUCUGAUGUUAUGGACUUCCUUAUCUCCAUCCUCAAAAUAUCCUUUGCAUAGUUCACUGACCCAGUUCAAAUGUCUUUCUGGACUAAAUUUGUCGUCACAAGCCUCGCAUCUGUUUCCUCUGUUUCCUGAAGCCGGGCUGAGGCUCCCACUCAAAGUACUCAUAACACUUGCAUCAGCAUGUACUUUCAUACCUGCAUCCACAAACUUGAACCUGUUUGUGCCCCCAGCGAAGGAAUGCCCCCCCCUGUCUCAGCCCGAUACUGGACACCGUAGCUGCUUGAGGGGAAAGCUGACGUCCAACUCAACCUGUGGACUGAAAUGCUACCUGGGCUUCCUGAUAACGGGACUGCAGGAUUUUACCUGCAAUGUCACCGGGGACUGGAGUGGGCCGAGACCUCAUUGUGCAAUCUAUGAACAGGUUAUGUUUGCUGUUGCUGGGUGUGCAGCCUUUUCAGUCUUCUCCUGCAUCUGUUUUUGCUGCAUACGGCGCAGAAAAAGAAAUAAACCUUCCCAAGUAAGAGAGCCUGAAGAAGCGACAGGUCCAUCCAAUGAGGCACAUGGAUAG
ensembl:lncRNA